GGAAUGAGUUAAGUAUAAACCCCUUUACAAGUAUCAAUUGGAGGGCAAGUCUGGUGCCAGCAGCCGCGGUAAUUCCAGCUCCAAUAGCGUAUAUUAAAGUUGUUGCAGUUAAAAAGCUCGUAGUUGGAUUUCUGUUAAUAAUUUAUAUAAAAUAUUUUAAUUAAUAUUUAUAUAAUAUUAACAUAAUUCAUAUUACUAUAAUUAUUUUUUAGUAUAUGAAAUU
rnacentral:rRNA from 1 species